UACGUAGGGUGCAGGCGUUAAUCGGAAUUACUGGGCGUAAAGCGUGCGCAGGCGGUUUCUUAAGUCAGAUGUGAAAUGCCCGGGCUUAACCUGGGAACUGCAUUUGUGACUGCAUGGCUAGAGUUUGGCAGAGGGGGGUAGAAUUCCACGUGUAGCAGUGAAAUGCGUAGAUAUGUGGAGGAACACCGAUGGCGAAGGCAGCCCCCUGGGUCAAGACUGACGCUCAUGCACGAAAGCGUGGGGAGCAAACAGG
rnacentral:rRNA from 1 species